rnacentral:lncRNA from 1 species
CUGCUAUUUUCAAGCAGGACAGAGGUUACAGGUCUUAGCAGGAGCCAGGCCCCUCUACCACAGUCACAUACCCUAACUCUAUUCCCAACUUUCCUUGAAGUUAUGUCAAGGCCUUUCCAAUCAAAUGAGCAAAGUAAGAUGUCCCAUUGUAGCAUGGAGGGUGGACAGGUAGCUCUUUGAUUCACGAAUUUUAAGAAUGAAAGUCACAGACACUAGGGUGAAAGCAAAGAAACAGGAUUUAUGAGGGUGAUUGAAGCCAGGGCUCCUGAAGGGAGGGGUCCCAAGGGAGGGUGGCAAUGGGUGUCUGAAGCUUGUUUCUCUAGUCCUCUCUUCUUCCUUUUGUUUUUCUCCACGACCCUUUUCCUGGCUACCUAUGGGUGGUCCAUCCUUCUGUCUCGCUAAUUCCAGGCCUGGAUCUGAAACUUCGUGUGCAUCUCUCCCUGUUGGAUCUCUUACUGGAGUCAAGACGAGGGAGCCUCAGCAUGGAAGGAGUGUGGAUCCCUGAGUGACCACAUGGAGGAGAGCGGAAUGGCCAACUGGAGUCCCUGCCCUGGUCUGGUAUUUGAGCAUGAAUCCAAACCUUUAUCACACUGAAACAUGACCUGUUUCAGUCUAUUUGUUAUUACAUCAGUUAGCCUAGCCCAGAUAAUAGGCAGAGGUAGGAAAAUGAGUAUGCAGUAUGGUAAGUGGUGAUAAGGGCCAAGUGGGAGAACUGAGAGUGGGGUGUGUGUGUGUGUGUGUGUGUGUGUGUGCGUGCUGCUGCAGAGAUGACUGGAGAAGUGGGGAUGUGAGCCUGUUGGGAGUGAAGGAGCCACCACAUACACCACGCUCAGAGGGCAGUUGUGUGUGGCUGGGACCUAAGUGGCCUGAGUCUCUGGCUCCUCUCCGGUACCUCUUCCCACCUGGAGGACCUCCCGCUUGCCCUGAUGGUGCUUCAGUUGUAACUGCAGACAUGGAAUUG